UAAGGGCUGACUGCAACUGUAGAAGGAUCUCUGGUUGGAGAUCCCUUCCUUGUGGUUUUCCUUACAAGCCUAAAUCUUCAGACCUGGUUACAAAUAGGCAAGAUGUUAACGUUCUGAGUCAAGCACAGGCUGCUGAAAAGUUUGGUUGUUAUCAUCAUAGCAACAAACUCCUGAAAAUAAUGUGGCUAGUCAAGAUUGAAUAGCUUGAAGUAAACGGAGAGAAAGAUGAUUAUGAUACCUGGAUCUCUGCUGAGCACAUAGGAGUGCUGAAAGCAUAUUAAGUCUCCCAGACUUAACUCACUUGGUUGAGUUAUUUUUUCUGGUCUCUGUGUACAAAAUGCAGGAUAAAUGCGCUGUCCCAGGAAAAAGGGACUAAGUCUUUGUGUUUUGGUGUGGUUACACUGGACAGUUUUUUUUCACAAUCUCUUUCAGAGUCAAAUUACUCGUACCUCCACAGCAGUGCUUUGUCUGCAGGAUCAAGAACAGCAAGGAGCAGAAAUAAAUGUACCGCCUGCUCCCUGUCUUUCCCUCUAUUUUUUUUCUCCCCAGUAUACCAAUACCUAAUAUAAUUAUCUCUGUGCUCCUCAGAACUGAUACUGAAGCCCAUCUGCUGAAGUUGCUCAGAGUGAAAAUGCCUAAAGAUUUAAUUUUAAAGGAUUUCAGAUGUAGAAUUAAAUGCAUAAUUUUCAAGUCUCUUUACUAGUGUUUAAACGUGAUUUUGUGUUGUUUUGCUUAUUGCGGGUUAUUUAAUAUUUUAAAUGUUUUUUUAAAGGUGGAUCUUUUGGUUUUAGUUCUGAAUAGGCAUACCGGAUAAAGUUACUUUUUUUUUUUCCCAAGUAUUUCAAUAAGUGUCAUUGAAAAGUAUCUAGCUCUUAAUCAAUAGUUUGACAACAUUGUUUCAAACAACCCUUUAACAAAAUAAAAUUGGUUUCUUCCUGACUCUUAAAACUAUCUAAAUUUUUAUUAUCAUUAUUCUGAAAUUAUGGCUUGUGUUGUGUUUCUAUUAGUGAUGAUUCAAACUGGUUUUUUUUGGGGGGAGGAGAGUUGUUUUUUUUUUUAAUGGCAUUCAAAUUGAAAGCAAACAAACCAUAUUUAUUUGUUUAAAAUUAUUCAUCAAUUAUCCAAUGUGACCUAUGAGAGCACUUGGAAAGGCUUGAAGAAACUAACCUACAGGUUUAAACAUUCUGCAGAUUUUUUUUUUUUUAGCACCACAAAUUCAAAAUGUAUGUAAUACCACUUAAAUUUCUAUGAAGAAUAUAAAUAGAACAUUUUGUUAAUUACAGUGAAUUAAAGUCUCAUAGAUUUCAAAGUGCUUUCCAAACUUAAAUUAAUUUGCUGUUGUAAUGCUUCUACUUAGAGAAGAACAGAAAUCAGAAGCUCAAAUGUAUUCAGCUAUUACUAAAUUAAGUAUGGAUGUUGUCUCUCUUUAUGAUAGCUAUUGCAUAAGGUAUCUGGCUCAAAGAGAGCAGUUGACACAAUUAUUGUAUCAGAAAUAAUGAGUGACAUAAUCUUGUGUUCCUGUAGAUUUGUAUAGAAGUUAAAGAGGGAGUACAGUGGAGAUUUUUUUAAGAGAGCGUUUAUUCAAGUGAUAAAUAUAUGGGCCAUGUCAUUAAGGAAAACAACAACAACAACAACAACAAAACACCUCUCUAUGACACUUUGUGGAAAAUCUGUUUUGGAUAAUGCACGUUAGAGAUCAUUUGAAGGUAUAAUAAAAAAUUAACUUAUGUUCCUACACACACUACAGAAGUUCCUAACAAAAAAUAUUUAGCUUCAAAAUUCAUUUUAUUGAAUAGAAAAUGUCUUAACAAAAUGAAGUCACUUUGACUUUCUAAGUCUCAUUGGUAAUUAGGUGGAUCUACUGUACUGUCCCCUUAGUGUAA